rnacentral:ncRNA from 1 species
GUUGGGUGAAGCGGAAAGAAGUUGAUCGACCUUCCCUUUCCUGUCGUUCUACGACAUAAUGUCGAUGUUACGUUAUAGUAUGUUGAUUGAAAAAAAAAAUAGCCAAAUGCAUCGUCAUCUAAUUAGUGACGCGCAUGAAUGGAUUAACGAGAUUCCCACUAUCCCUAUCUACU